AGGAGGGGAAUCCCACAUCACCUGCUCUAAGAAGAAUAACUGUCACAUAGCCUAUAAACACCUGUGAUGGAAGACAGUUAGCACCUUCCCUUCCUGGGGGGCAGACGUAACACCAUGGCCAUCUUGUCAUUUGCAGUAAGAAGCAAGAGUCACAGGAAGUGUAGCAUAGGGCACCUGUGGGAUUGCUUGUUGCAGUCCCUCUGUCCACUGGCAGCCUGUAGAGCUGCUAGUCUCAGCAGAGUUGUGACAGCCUAUGCUAAGGCUCUCAGUUUCAGCUCCCAGGGCAUGAGUGACUAGCAGGUUCCUCAACCUGAUACUCUUUUAUUACAGUCAUGAUAUUUGAGAUUUUGUGGGGUCUUUAUAAAAUUUUUUGCUUAUUGUCUAUAGAGUAAAUAUGUGGUUAGACUUUGGUAAUGUGUGUUCUCAUUUUAGUAUUCUUCAGAGCCAAGUCACAAAAAGUAGUAUUUUCCCUAUUUAAUUUUCUUAAAAAAAACAAGUACCUAUAUAAGUACUAAGUGCCCAAGAGUUCUAGCCCUUUAUGCAGUUAACUUAUUCAAUCCUCACUACCACACAGGAACUGCCUGCCUUUGUCUCAGAGAGAAGGAGGCUGAAGUGUGAGACAGUCUCCUGUCAGAUCAGCUCAGAUAAGGGGCACAGGUCACAUAGUGCCUGUGGUAUACACAAGUGAACGGAGACUGAAGAUGAUGAGUCUGUGUUCUUUGUUUCCACAAUGGCUGGAAAUUCAGAUUUGGAUGAAGCCAGGAGCCUAAACUUUUCUUUAGUGCUAUAGUGAAAUCUAGGGCUUGCACAUGCAAGGCAAGUGCUCUCUCUACCACUGAGAUCCACAGCCCUGGAACCUGUAUUCCUAGCAAGCAGCAUUAGCUCCUCUCCUCUACCCAAGGACAGGCGGACGGUGGACAACAGGACAGCUUACUCUGCUCCUCGAAGCCUGGGGAUGACAGCACUUAACUGCUCUUGUAGAGGACCUUCAUAAGUAGCUCAUGUAAUCCUUCUGGGGAUUACAGGUAUGUGUCCCCAUUCCUGUCUCUUAACUUCUUUCUAUAAAGUGAAAAGGCUCCAAUACCUGGAGUUCACUUAACUCUUAACAUGGCCUGGCUUUUGUCUGACUGUUUAUUGCACCUCAGCACCCCUUCCCCAACACAUCCUUGCCAAAUCAGUACUUCUGAAUCAGACUAUCUGGAAUGCCCAGUGCCAGAGGCUCUGCUGCUUUCUUCUGCCUCUGCAUCCACAUGGUAUACAAACACACAUGCAGGCCAAACAACCAUACACAUCAAAUAAGAAUGAAUCUUUUUUAAAAUGGGGAUAACCAUGUCUUCUUCAAUAACUGGCACUGUACAGACUCUCUCAUUGCUUCCAGCCACUGCAGAAGACACUGUUAUCCAUACUUUACAGAGAAAACUGAGGCUUAGAGCUUGAAGUAACUUGUUUAAAUAACUCUUUAAUACAGUCUUUCGCGAAGCUUCCUAGGCCAAAAUGUGGGAGUCAAGCACAAAACCUGCAAAAUGCCAUGAAAUUCAGGAUACAGCCUUAAAAACAUUUAAAAUCAUGGAACAUUUUUGUUUUUUAAAAAGAUUACUCCUUUUGGAGACUGGCUACAUGGUCUUUAGAAGAUCCUAGAAUAAGUAAAAGGCUACAUGUAUUUUCUCACUGCUCUUCUCUGCAGCAGUGUUGGCCCCUGGGGCUCACAGAACCCCUCAGGUAUCACAAACAGUGGGUAUUACAGACCUCUCUUCUCUUCCCUGGAUGGCUUCAAAGCCUGCUGUAUAGCCCACAGAUAUCAGCAUAGGGUGGAUAAGGUCCUCAUAUAGCUACAGUGCCCUCAGCCUUAUGCAGCUGUGGCAAGCUGGAACUGCAGUCUGUGACUCUUUACAAGCCUUCAAGUUCAAGGUCAGUGCCAAAAGAAAUAUAUCACAGUGUUUUUAUGCACAUUAACUGACCAAGUUACAACUCCCACCCUUAGGAUCCCAAGAAAGAGAAUGAUAGCCCUAGAAACCAAACUCAGUUUCUCCUAAAGGGUCCAGGCCAAGUUUUAUUGUAGGCAUUUAUUUUAGUCUUGUUAAUUCCAAAUACUUAUUGACCUCUAAGAUUUAAGGCAGAGAUAGAAGAUACAUGUCCCAGAGCCACAGGCUAGGCCAGCAUGAUUUCUCAAUUCUCUGAGGAGACCCCUCCCCAGGCUACACGGCCUGGGUGAAAUGGCAGGAUGCUUGUGACUGGCUGCAGGUGACCCUCCUAGCCCUUCCUCCAUGGUAGAGCCACUCUCUGAGGGCUCUUACAGCACCAGUUCUGCAGACAGGUUCAGGAUCCUCUUCAGAUGACAGCUCACCGGACGUCUGAACCACUGUCCUCAGAGGGCCCACCAGGACCUCGCCCUGAGGCCGGCUGUGCAAAAUCAUGCUUAGGAAAGGGCUGGGAGAGAAACCUGCAUGCCUGUCUCCUAGGUCUUCACCCCAGCCAGUCAAUGUCAUCGUCGUCAUCAUCAUCUCCAAAAAGGGGUGUUGGGGGCGGGUGCCCCUUCAUGCUCUGACAAAACAGGAAAGAGAGGUCAGUUCUCAUAUAUCCCUGCCCAGGUGGCUUCCUGCCUAUGAGGGGAAGUGGUCCAAUGGCUGUCCUGCCUCUGGCUGGAAAGGAGAUGAACUAGAAGGACAGGCUUUGUGGCUAAAGAACUGAUCCAGACAAAGCUGGGACAAGCAGGCACUGAGGGAAGCCAUCUUUCGACAGAGACAAAGACCAACUUUGCUUAGCUGAUUUUGUGAUUUAUUUGUGAAAUAUAUAUUGAUUGGGCAGAUAUGCCAACUUACAAGUUUUGUAUGAAAAAAGAAGGUUCAUUAAGGACCGAUGGGGAAAGAGAAAGAAACAAAAGCAAAGCAGCCUGGGAGAAUUAAGAGAAGAUGACAGAAGUUCGGAGAAGUACAAUCACAUCCAAAAACCAGCUGUGGCCUGAGGUGGCCAGACAAAGAUGUGGAUGUAGAGGCACGUCCAAGAGAUAAAGAAAGGCCACAAAGGCAGAGCCAUGCUCUCUUUAAAGGGGCUAAAGGAUUCUAGGACCCUCUAAGAGUCCCAACCAAAGGAUACUGUGUUACAGGUUCAAGUCCUCGGCUUGGUACUGCUGGACGUGGUGGAAAGCUUCUGUGAUGGGCUGGCCCAGUAAGAGGACUCAGGGAGGAGGAGAGCCAACAAGUUGGAUCUUCAGAAUCCUUUCCACCUUCCCUUACUACAAACAGGACCGAUUCCCCAAGGGACACAGAUCAUGAUAUCCUUUUAAGAAUACAGUGGCAGCUGGUUAUCCUUAUUCUGCUUAAAGAGCUGCCCACUCUGGACCCCCAAGCUGACUCCCACAGGGUCCUGUACACAUAGUCCAGAAAGCAGGCCACCAACAGACUCCUUUUCUUGUCUCUGAGACUGCAGGGAAGAGCCCCCAGGUGGUGGUAUGAGGACUCAGCUGAGUCUGAGAUUUCCUUACCACCUCGUCUUCAUCCUCCUCCUCAGGCUGGACUUUGGGCCUUGGAACUUUCAGAGUUGCCCCUUUAAACAGUUCGUCCUCUUCAUCCCCAGAGAGACUAAAGAAGAAUCAAGCCACAGAUACUUGCUGUUUCUGCCCGGGUCACAGUGCCCACAAGCUAUGAAAGUUAUGGAUCCUGAAUUGAGACCCACUUACCCAAUUCAAAUAUCUCUUCCCACACCAUGAAUACAUCCCUCCAGAGACCACACCCUGUAUAAUGCCUUUCACAGUUCUACACUGCAUUAGCCCCUCUCCAGUCUACACCCUGUGCCAGCCUCUCCAGUCUACAGCCAGCUGUAGCAUACAGUGUCCCCUCUGUAUGCUAUGAAUAUGUUUUAUUAUCAUUGGUUAAUAAAGAAGCUGCUUUGGCCUAUGGCAGGGCAGAAUAUAGGUAGAUAUGAAAACUAAACCGAUUGCAGGGAGAAAGAAGGUGGAGUUGACACCAGAGCCUUACUGGUAAACCACAGCCUCAUGGUGAUACACAGAUGAAUAGAAAUGGGUUACUUUAAGAUGUAAGAGCUAGCUAGAAAUAUGCCUGAGCCAUCGGCCAAAGAGUAUUGUAAGUAAUACAGUUUUAGUGUGAUUAUUCAGGUCUGGGUGGCCGGGAAGUGGAAAAGCAGUCUUCGAUUACUGCCAGCACAAUUGUUAAAGCUAAUAAAUCAUAUUCCACCA